rnacentral:rRNA from 1 species
UACAGAGGGUGCGAGCGUUGUCCGGAAUUACUGGGCGUAAAGGGCGCGUAGGUGGCGCCGCAAGUCCAUGGUGAAAGCUCGAUGCUCAACAUCGAGUCGGCCACGGAGACUGCGGGGCUCGAGCACUGUAGGGGCAGAUGGAAUUCCGGGUGUAGCGGUGGAAUGCGUAGAGAUCCGGAAGAACACCGGUGGCGAAGGCGGUCUGCUGGGCAGUUCCUGACACUGAGGCACGAAGGCCAGGGGAGCAAACGGG